CCAUGAGCUAGGGCACGUGAGCGCCCGA
rnacentral:sRNA from 1 species